rnacentral:lncRNA from 1 species
GUAUCCAGAUGCAUAUCCACGUGAGCCGAGAGGUGGAUGAAGCUGGAUAAAGUACUGACUACAAUGGGCACUGGAAUAACUGGAGAAAUACAGCACAAAGGAUGAGGCCCUGCUUCGUCAACAGUUCCAGCAACGCUAAAAGAGGCCAGUCCUGGGACCACGAGCAGCCGGUCUCACUCCAGAGCUGUCACAGGAUGAACAACUGUGAGGCCCCAAACAUCACAUAAUACCGCGCAGGCGUAUGCCAUGCGCUGUGCGUACGAGCAAGAGAACAAGGAAGUACUUAAUGAAAAGGCAACCUGAACCGCUUGACGAUCAACGACAUUGUCGAUUCAAAUUAAGAACCACAUUCGUAAAUAGCAGAAAUGCUUGUUUUCAAGAACGAAAAGGUUCAGGAGC